CAACCUGUUAUGCAAUGCGGCAUGCAUCUGCCAUUUUGUAUUUAUAUACACUGUGCCAUUUUGCACCCAUUUUGAAGUGAAGUUACUUCGAUUACUUCGGAGGGUGUGGACGUGGAGUUGGUGUCAGUGUGGAGGUUAUGUUGAUGUUGCAGGGCGCAUAGCUGGAUCAUAUGGGAAGAGGAUGCUGCUUGCUGCUCUCCACUCCCGUGGCAGACAUAAAGGCGCGCAGCGUCACUCACGUAAAAAUGGACGAGAGGACUUCGACGAGCCAGGCUCUGAAAAUGAGGGCGGUCCGGCUGAUGAUCGCCAAGAGGACGAUGAAGGAGGCCAUGAACAGCGGAAGAAGGACCGCAAAAAAAGUAAGUGAAAGGUUUGGCGCCUUACAUCGCCUGCAUCAGCUUUACGUGUUGCAUUAUUUUCAUAAACGUAUUGAAAUUUCCUGCAUUAAAUACCCUCUUUGU
rnacentral:misc_RNA from 1 species